rnacentral:rRNA from 1 species
CAAUAGCGUAUAUUAAAGUUGUUGCAGUUAAAAAGCUCGUAGUUGGAUUUCUGGUGGGAGCGAUCGGUCUGGCGUUUAGCGCGAGUACUUGCAUCGUCUCCGGCCAUCCUUGGGGAGAGUCUGUCUGGCAUUAAGUUGUCGGGCAGAGGAUCCUCAUCGUUUACUGUGAAAAAAUUAGAGUGUUCAAAGCAGGCUUAUGCCGUUGAAUAUAUUAGCAUGGAAUAAUAAGAUAGGACUUUGGUACUAUUUUGUUGGUUUGCGCACCAAAGUAAUGAUUAAUAGGGACAGUUGGGGGUAUUCGUAUUCCGUUGUCAGAGGUGAAAUUCUUGGAUUUACGGAAGACGAACUACUGCGAAAGCAUUUACCAAGGAUGUUUUCAUUAA